GAUGAAGAACGUAGUGAAAUGCGAUACUUGGUGUGAAUUGCAGAAUCCCGUGAACCAUCGAGUCUUUGAACGCAAGUUGCGCCCGAAGCCAUCAGGUUGAGGGCACGUCUGCCUGGGCGUCACAUAUCGUUGCCCAAUGCCUAUUGCAGUGCAAUAGGAAUUUCUAGGGCGAAUGAUGGCUUCCCGUGAGCGUUGUUGCCUCGCGGUUGGUUGAAAAUCGAGUCCUUGGUAGGGUGUGCCAUGGUAGAUGGUGGUCGAGUUAGAACGAUACCGAUCAUGUGCAUGCUCCCCAAAAUAUGGCCUCUAUGACCCACACGCGUCUUUUGACGCUCAUGACGAGACCUCGGGUCAGGCGGGGCUACCCGCUGAAUUUAAGCAUAUCAAUAAGCGGAGGA
rnacentral:misc_RNA from 1 species